rnacentral:rRNA from 1 species
UACGGAGGGGGCUAGCGUUGUUCGGAAUUACUGGGCGUAAAGCGCACGUAGGCGGCUUUGCAAGUUAGAGGUGAAAGCCCGGGGCUCAACUCCGGAAUUGCCUUUAAAACUGCAUCGCUAGAAUUGUGGAGAGGUAAGUGGAAUUCCGAGUGUAGAGGUGAAAUUCGUCGAUAUUCGGAAGAACACCAGUGGCGAAGGCGACUUACUGGACACAUAUUGACGCUGAGGUGCGAAAGCGUGGGGAGCAAACAGG